rnacentral:rRNA from 1 species
AUCUGCCCCUAAGACGAGGAUAACAGUUGGAAACGACUGCUAAGACUGGAUAGGAGACAAGAGGGCAUCUUCUUGUUUUUAAAAGACCUAGCAAUAGGUAUGCUUAGGGAGGAGCUUGCGUCACAUUAGUUAGUUGGUGGGGUAAAGGCCUAACAAGACUAUGAUGUGUAGCCGGGCUGAGAGGUUGAACGGCCACAUUGGGACUGAGACACGGCCCAAACUCCUACGGGAGGCAGCAGUAGGGAAUUUUCGGCAAUGGAGGAAACUCUGACCGAGCAACGCCGCGUGAACGAUGAAGUAUUUCGGUACGUAAAGUUCUUUUAUUAGGGAAGAAUAAAUGAUGGAAAAAUCAUUCUGACGGUACCUAAUGAAUAAGCCCCGGCUAACUAUGUGCCAGCAGCCGCGGUAAUACAUAGGGGGCAAGCGUUAUCCGGAAUUAUUGGGCGUAAAGGGUGCGUAGGCGGUUAAAUAAGUUUAUGGUCUAAGUGCAAUGCUCAACAUUGUGAUGCUAUAAAAACUGUUUAGCUAGAGUAAGAUAGAGGCAAGUGGAAUUCCAUGUGUAGUGGUAAAAUGCGUAAAUAUAUGGAGGAACACCAGUAGCGAAGGCGGCUUGCUGGGUCUUUACUGACGCUGAGGCACGAAAGCGUGGGGAGCAAACAGGAUUAGAUACCCUGGUAGUCCACGCCGUAAACGAUGAGUACUAAACGUUGGGUAAAACCAGUGUUGAAGUUAACACAUUAAGUACUCCGCCUGAGUAGUACGUACGCAAGUAUGAAACUUAAAGGAAUUGACGGGACUCCGCACAAGCGGUGGAUCAUGUUGUUUAAUUCGAAGGUACCCGAAAAACCUCACCAGGUCUUGACAUGCUUCUGCAAAGCUGUAGAAACACAGUGGAGGUUAUCAGUUGCACAGGUGGUGCAUGGUUGUCGUCAGCUCGUGUCGUGAGAUGUUGGGUUAAGUCCCGCAACGAGCGCAACCCUUAUUGUUAGUUACCAGCACGUAAUGGUGGGGACUUUAGCAAGACUGCCAGUGAUAAAUUGGAGGAAGGUGGGGACGACGUCAAAUCAUCAUGCCCCUUAUGACCUGGGCUACAAACGUGAUACAAUGGCUGUUACAAAGGGUAGCUGAAGCGCAAGUUUUUGGCAAAUCUCAAAAAAACAGUCUCAGUUCGGAUUGAAGUCUGCAACUCGACUUCAUGAAGUUGGAAUCGCUAGUAAUCGCGAAUCAGCAUGUCGCGGUGAAUACGUUCUCGGGGUUUGUACACACCGCCCGUCAAACCACGAAAGUUGGCAAUACCCAAAGCCGGUGGCCUAACUUCGCAAGAAGA